ACCUGGGUGGCUCAGUCGGUUGAGCAUCUGACUUCAGCUCAGGUCGUGAUCUCACAGUUCGUGGGUUCCAUCCCCGCAUUGGGCU
rnacentral:tRNA from 1 species